AAACCCUUUAUCAAUUCCUCCUCCCUGGUUUUUUUAAUGUUUUGUGGAUUUCAAUUCAUCUUCCUCGAAAGAAGAAACCCACAACCAAAUCUUCGAGCCUACAUAUAUUUGAAGCCCAAGGGGGACGCUACAUCCAUAUUCGUUUGAGUUAGAGCGAGAGAUAAUGAGUAACACAUUUUGUAGAGAGAGGAUCGCCAUGGAUCUAUGCAGGACUAGCCUUUGGUUCAGUCCUCUUUCAUUAUUUUUUUCAUCAUAACACAAUCCGUUCCUUCGGCUUCUCAGGAAAUUGAGGAUGAGAGAGAGUUUGAUUAUUUGGAAGGCAGUGAGAAGGGGCCGAAGCACUGGGGCGAGCUCCAUCCCGAAUGGGCGGCUUGUAGCAAUGGGGAUAUGCAGUCUCCAAUUGACCUGCUUCAAGAAAGGGUGGAGGUUCUGCCAAAUCUGGGGCGCUUAAAGAGGGAAUAUAAGCCCGCUAAAGCAAUCCUAGAGAACAGAGGCCAUGAUAUAAUGCUUAAGUGGGAGGAAAGUGGAGCUGGAACACUUGAAAUAAACC